UACGGGGGGGGCAAGCGUUGUUCGGAAUUACUGGGCGUAAAGGGUGCGUAGGCGGCUUUCUAAGUUGGAUGUGAAAACUAUGGGCUCAACCCAUAGCCUGCAUCCAAAACUGGAGAGCUUGGGUUCUGGAGGGGAAAGCGGAAUUCCUGGUGUAGCGGUGAAAUGCGUAGAUAUCAGGAGGAACACCGGUGGCGAAGGCGGCAUCCUGGACCGACACUGACGCUGAGGCGCGAAAGCCAGGGGAGCAAACGGG
rnacentral:rRNA from 1 species